UACGUAGGGGGCAAGCGUUGUCCGGAUUUAUUGGGCGUAAAGCGCGCGCAGGCGGUCUAUUAAGUCUGAUGUGAAAGCCCACGGCUCAACCGUGGAGGGCCAUUGGAAACUGGUAGGCUUGAGUGCAGGAGAGGAGAGCGGAAUUCCCGGUGUAGCGGUGAAAGUGCGCAGAUAUCGGGAAGAACACCCGUGGCGAAGGCGGUUCUCUGGGACGGUACUGACGCUGAGACGCGAAAGCGUGGGGAGCGAACAGG
rnacentral:rRNA from 1 species